UACGGGGGAUGCAAGCGUUAUCCGGAAUUAUUGGGCGUAAAGGGUAGGUAGGUGGUCUCAUUUGUCGGGGGUGAAAUCCUUGGGCUUAACCCAAGAAGUGCCUUCGAAACGGUGAGACUGGAGUCCUGGAGAGGGUCGCGGAAUUCCCGGUGUAGCGGUGAAAUGCGCAGAUAUCGAGGAGACACCGGUGGCGAAGGCGG
rnacentral:rRNA from 1 species